GGGGUUGUGGCUCAAGUGGUAGCGCGCUUGCCUGGCAUGCGUGAGGCACUGGGUUCGAUUCUCAGCACCACCU
rfam:Ictidomys tridecemlineatus contig026588, whole genome shotgun sequence.